UACAGAGGGUGCGAGCGUUAAUCGAAGUUACUGGGCGUAAAGGGCGCGUAGGCGGUUAAGUGAGUGUGAUGUGAAAGCCCUGGGCUUAACCUGGGAAGGGCAUUGCAAACGACGUAACUGGAGUAUAAGAGAGGGUGGCGGAAUUUCCGGUGUAGCGGUGAAAUGCGUAGAGAUCGGAAGGAACGUCGAUGGCGAAGGCAGCCACCUGGCUUAAUACUGACGCUGAGGCGCGAAAGCGUGGGGAGCGAACAGG
rnacentral:rRNA from 1 species